rnacentral:rRNA from 1 species
AUUGAACGCUGGCGGCAUGCCUAACCCAUGCACGUCGAACGAGAGGCGGACGGGUGAGUAAUGCUGGGGAAUCCAGCUUCUGGAGGGGGAUUCCUACGGGAAACUUUCGCUAAUACCGUGUACCAUAGGAAGAUCCCAAGUGGGAUGCGGUAGUUGGUGUGGUAAAGGCUAACACAGCCGACGAGCUCUAGCUGGGCGGAGAGGCGGACCAGCCCCACUGGGCGUGGGACACGGCCAAUACUCCUACGGGAGGCAGCAUGGGGGAAUAUUGCGCAAUGGGGGCAACCUGACGCAGCCAUGCCGCGUGAAUGAAGAAGGCCUUAGGGUUGUAAAGUUCUGUCGGUAGCGAGGCGUUAACUACAGAAGAAGCACCGGCUAACUCCGUGCCAGCAGCCGCGGUAAUAC